UACGUAGGGUGCAAGCGUUGUCCGGAAUUAUUGGGCGUAAAGAGCUCGUAGGCGGUCAGUCGCGUCUGCUGUGAAAACUCGGGACUUAACUCCGGGCCUGCAGUGGGUACGGGCUGACUAGAGUGCGGUAGGGGAGACUGGAAUUCCUGGUGUAGCAGUGAAAUGCGUAGAUAUCAGGAGGAAUACCGAUGGCGAAGGCAGGUCUCUGGGCUGAUACUGACGCUCAUGCACGAAAGGCGUGGGGAGCAAACAGG
rnacentral:rRNA from 1 species